CGGGAGGAGGGAGGUGGUGCCACAUGAGAACUUCAAGUGUUUUCUCUAAGUUACUCUUCUUCAAGCAAGGCUGAAAAAUGAGCUCUAGAUACAAAGAUGCCAUGGGAAGCUCUUAAUCUUACGAAAAAGGGCCUGAGGACAUUCUGAUGCUUCUGCAUGAAGAGAGAAAGCAGUCCACAGUGCCAAGAUAAAGCUGAGGCUUCGAGAGACCACAGGUAUUUUACCUAACACCAUAAACCCCAGUGUGGCACCUCCAGCUUGGCUCACCACUCCUCACUGCUCCAUGCAGCCAGCAACACACUGGAAGGGACUUAAUUCCUGUACAACUUCCCGUGGGCAGCACAGCCUUCUGGAGACCCAUCCCUGGAUCACGGGAACCAGUGGGAUCUGCUGGAGGAGGGAAGUUCACCUCACUCACUGCCCAGCAAACUGUGUCUGUAUCAGCUGAAGACAACUCAAAGGCAAGUUUGCAAAAGCAGGCUAAAUAUCAGUGUAUGAUAUCAAGCACUGGCUUCUACAGUUUCAUAUUUUUAAGAUCAGAUAAAUAAGGAAAGAAAGGUUUUUCCCUGCACAUCUCUUUAUAGACUUUCCAACAGCUUACACACAAAACAUUUAGACACUUUAAUUUCCACUCUAAUAUGAAUACUCUAACCCCAAA